UACGUAGGGUGCAAGCGUUAAUCGGAAUUACUGGGCGUAAAGCGUGCGCAGGCGGUUGUGCAAGACCGAUGUGAAAUCCCCGGGCUUAACCUGGGAAUGGCAUUGGUGACUGCACGGCUAGAGUGUGUCAGAGGGGGGUAGAAUUCCACGUGUAGCAGUGAAAUGCGUAGAGAUGUGGAGGAAUACCGAUGGCGAAGGCAGCCCCCUGGGUCAAGAUUGACGCUCAUGCACGAAAGCGUGGGGAGCAAACAGG
rnacentral:rRNA from 1 species